rfam:Loxodonta africana unplaced genomic scaffold scaffold_65, whole genome shotgun sequence.
GCAGUAGUGGUUCAGUGGUAGAAUUCUCCCCUUCUAUGCAAGAGACCUGGGUUCAAUUCCCGGCCAAUGCA